AUACGGAGGAUGCGAGCGUUAUCCGGAUUUAUUGGGUUUAAAGGGUGCGUAGGCUGUGCUGCAAGUCAGUGGUGAAAGACCUGCGCUCAACGCAGGAAGUGCCAUUGAUACUGCAGUGCUGGAGUACCCCUGCCGUGGGAGGAAUGAGUGGUGUAGCGGUGAAAUGCAUAGAUAUCACUCAGAACACCGAUUGCGAAGGCAUCUCACGUAAGGGCAACUGACGCUGAGGCACGAAAGCGUGGGGAUCAAACAGGCUUAGAUACCCUGGUAGUCCACGCUGUAAACGAUGAUGACUAACUGUCGGCGAUAUACAGUCGGUAGCCAAGCGAAAGCGAUAAGGCAUCCACCUGGGGAGUACGACCGCAAGGUUGAAACUCAAAUGAAUUGGCGGGG
rnacentral:rRNA from 1 species